AAAAAUAGAAACACUACGAGAUAUAAUGGAUUAAACAGAAAUGAAUAUUUUCUUUUAAUCUGUAGCUGGUUAUAUUGGUCAAAGUAAUUAUUACAGAUUUUCCAUUCAUUCAUGACAUUUUUCAUGAACUGAUCAAUUUUUAUUUUCUACUUAAAUAACUGAGAGUAAAACUACAAGAUAAGUUAGAGAAAAAUUUCAAACUCGUAAAGCAUUUAUCGAUCAUUGCCUUUAUCGAGUGAAAUGAGUUCUCAAAGAGUGUAAGAGAUGCAGAGAAAGUAUUCAACGUUAUUAUUAGGGUAGUAUAAAGUCGAUAAGAGGUCGAAAGACUGUAUAUGUCCUUUAUAUGCAACGAAAAAUCUCGGAUGAAAACAGUGCAUGUUUCUUCAUCGUAUUGUAAAACACUUUUGUCGAUCGACCAGAGUCGACGAAUGAACAGGAGAACAUGCUAAGUUACAUUUCAAUAUCACACAAUGAAAGAAAAUUUGUGACGCAUAUGUGUGUAGAAAUAUACAGUAUAUCUAUUCAAAUGUUUCUACAAAUUCAUAGUGUAUUGUAAAGUAUAAAAAACUAGCCAGACUUUGUGUAAUUAAUUAUACAAUUACUAAUUAGAUAUUACGUAUAUUAUGUAUGUAUAUAUCUCAACUAUUUUUAGAUUUAUGUAAAAUAUUAUAUAAAAGUGCAAGAGAAUAGAACGAAUAAGAUUACAAAACACGAUGAGCAUCACUGAUUCGAUAAUUUUAUAUUUCUACGCGUAAUAGGAAUCUCGAUUAGACUAUUAAUUCAAUAAUUCCAAUGAAAUAAUAAUAUGUGUAAUGGCAAAUAUUUGUUAAAUCUAUUUAUAUUUAAAAUUAGAAGUCGCACAUAUAACACAACGAUUUAAUGUCGAGUUCUAUUCGAUAUUGCUUCAUUGUGUUGUAGAAUUUGAUCUCGUAAAUAUCAUAGUCAUUCAAGUAAGUUAUCAAUUUUUUUGAAUUUGUACUUUUUCCAGAUUUUUUAUAUAUUUCAUAGUUGUUACUGGAUCUUUCCAUAAGAAACAAUAUAUGUGGUGAAAUCUGAACCAUUCUUAUUUAUUACAGUGUAAUAUUGGAUUUACCAAUAAGUAAUGUGAAUAUUUUCACUAAAAAACAUUGAAUACAGAGUUAUUUUUAUUUAGGACGAUAUAUAUUAUAACAUACAGAAAUUAUUUUCUGUUAUAUGUAGCAAUUUUUUGAUAUAUGUAACUUUAUCCUUGCUUAGAUAAAGUAAAUAAUAAGAAGCAUUCCAAAAAGGAAGUACGUGAUUCCAGAAGGAUCCGAUUGGAACUUUAAUAUAAAAUAUCAAAAAAAUUAUUAUUAAUUUAUACAUACAAAUAUACAAAUAGAAUGUAUAGACUUUUUUCCAUGUAACGAUAUUUUACGAGUAGUAAUAAAAGAAAAUAUCAUGUUAACAUAGACUCAAAAAUGCUAUGUUAAAAAGUUAUAAUAAAAAUAAUAAUGGUUUUUGUUCAAUACUGUACAAGAAUAGAUUGAUAAUAUUUAUUUAUUUUAAUUCCAUUUUAAAGUAAGCAUAUAUCAAAAAUUAAAUUGAUUACAUUCUGAAUUUUUUGUUGAUUUCCUUUUAUUUCAGUGAAUCAUAUUACUACAUAACUUCAAGUAGUAAACUUUUACUUCAAGUAGUAAGCAAAAAGUAAUAAAGCUUAUGUAAAAAUAUUAGAUAAUUAUUUUUAUAAUAUGUACUAUAUCAAAUGAAAACAAGUCUGUUAUUAUCUCAUAUUUCUGUUGUAAUUUUUUAAUAUUGCAUUUUUGAGUUUAUAUUUAAAUGAUAUUUUUCCCAUAAAAUAUGCUGGCAUUGUAUAGAAAAAAGUGGGAACAUCCAUAUAUUCUAUAAUAACAUAUAACUUUGAUGUGCAUUUAAUACCAUUCUCAUUUACAAAUAAUUCCGCAAAAUCUUCGAAGUUGCCUUUCAUAUUAUGAAACACUUUACAAUAAUGAUAAAAGCUCACACAUGUAUCUUUAGGAUUUCGGUGAAUGUCUGUAGGUAAUAAAUCCCAAGGUAAAUGUGAUUUAAUAUAUCGAGGUCGUGAUGCAUUUACAACAUUUUCUACUGAAUCGCCUAACUUUGAAAACCAAUCUACAUAAUUUCCUGUGACCAUAAG